GAUGAACGCUGGCGGCGUGCCUAAUACAUGCAAGUCGAGCGAACGGACGAGACGCUUGCUUCUCUGAUGUUAGCGGCGGACGGGUGAGUAACACGUGGAUAACCUACCUAUCAGACUGGGAACACUUCGGGAAACCGGCGCUAAUACCGGAUGAUCUUUUGAACCGCAUGGUUCAAAAGUGAAAGACGGUCUUGCUGUCACUUAUAGAUGGAUCCGCGCUGCAUUAGCUAGUUGGUAAGGUAACGGGUUACCAAGGGAACGAUGCGUAGCCGAACUGAGAGGGUGAUCGGCCACCCUGGAAGUGAGACAGCGUCCAGACGCCUAAGGGAGGCAGCAGUAGGGAAUCGGACGCAAAGGUGGAGAGCAUGGCGGAGCAAGGGGGCGUGAGAGGUGGAAGUCUUCGGAUCGUAAAAACCUGUUAUGAGGGAAGAACAGAUGUGUAAGGAAAUGAGGAGAUCGUGACGGUAACUAGUAAGAAAGCCACGGCUAACUACGUG
rnacentral:rRNA from 1 species